GUUUCUGCACAGCUUCUAGAUAAUUCUUGGUGUUUUCACAGAGACAGAAGUUACAUAUUCAUCAGCUGCUUCCUUUCCAGUCCUGACCAUUUCUGAUCAAUCAAGAUCGAUUGCUUUUCCAUGUAGAUGACUUGUUGUCUUUGGGAGGGGAAGUCCAGCCAAAGGUCAGUGGUGACAAACAUGCUGCUGUGGGUGGGGACCCAGCCGGGCUGCCUGUGGGGAGCAGCUUGCAUUCAAAUGAAGAUGCUGAAGAGCUGCUAAAGUGCAGUCUUGUCCAGUUAACUAGAUUCCCGCAGAGCUCCACGCUCCCUUCUCAGAAUUAAAAAAAGCUUUUCCAGUUGAAAUAGAAUAGACAUUUCCAAACCGCUGGUGGACUUUACUUGGCAUGGGACCAUUUUGAGGUGAGAACUUCAGUGCCAUGUCAUAGAAUCAUGAUGUUGUCCUCCAUCACCUCCGACUCCUACCAGGACCUUUUCACCACCCAGGGAGACCCUGCACCCCGUUGGCUGUCUCUCCCCACCUCCCCUCCCUCCAUCCUCGGUGACCACAGACCGGCUUUGCAGACUUGGGAUGUUUCCUCUGAAAGGAAUCUUACAAUGUGCCUGGAUUUUUCUCUCCCUCUAAUGGUUUUGGGAUUCGCCCACGUGGCAGUGAGUCAGGUACAACUUCUCAAACAGAUCUAUGCACCACCACCAGCCAGGAAGAGCCAGCAAUCUAAGACACCGGGACCAAACCCGAUAGAAGGUUCUUCCAUUUCCAUCGCCCUGAGCUGGUGAGCAGGAAAGUGGAGAGCCAUUUCAACCAGCGACAUUCCCGUCAGCUCCAGCUCACAGAGAGGUGCAAAUUACAAAAGGAGUUGGGUUCAAUAUCCCCCAGCCCUAGCUGGACCUCAGAGGCACAUAACCCAAGAAGCAAGGGACAGAACAUGACCUGGAAGGGUACAAAUACUCUAUUUAGCUCCCUCUGUGGAAAAAUUCAAGCCUUUUAAUUAAAGAAUUUUCAUUUCUC